rnacentral:ncRNA from 2 species
UCAAUUUGUUUGGGGUAUGGUUUGAAAGGCAAUCUGCCGAGUAGAUGAAAAGGGAAACCGGUUGGAAUCCGGUGCAAUCGCCAUUACUGUAUUUGACAAAACGGGAACGACAUUUGCCAUUGGGAUGCUCACCACAGGUGAAAAUGCAAACUGAGAAGGCGUCGUUUCGGAAGCAAACUCUGCUUCGGUCAUAAGUCAGGAGACCUGCCAUACCCCCGUCGGAUCG